CGGCUAAACCCUCCAUCAUGUAAAACCCUCCUGCCUAAAUCCCACUUCCCGAUGCCUCUGGGCCUGUUGUCUGCCCUCAAACCCUCGCCUCCCCGACCCGCGACGGCUUUUCUCCUGCAUUGGAGCUUUCGGAAUGGCUGCCAACUGGCGACGACGGCGAUGACGACGCCUCGAGGACCAAGAAGCCCGCCUCCUUCGCUGCCAAGAACGUGACCGGAAGGGCAGUGCCCGCGGUGCCAUGCCAUCUCUCUGCUUCCCUUCUCCUUCUCAUCUUCCUGGCCGCCAUCUUCUUCUCCCGCUCUCGCCCCUUCUGCAUCCCUUCUUCCGUCGAGUCCAUCACCCGUCACCCGUGUGACCCCUUUUGUCGGUGGCAUUUACGGCCUUGCCUCCUCUGAAUUCGGAUCCCCCGAGGUGGCUUCGUGUUUCAUCGUUCCAUCUUUCUUAAAGACAAUAGUGGAAGAGUGGAUCUCCAUGUCAAGUUGGCUCUUGGCUGUAUUUGGUGCUCCUUGGGGUGUUCUCGCGCUCUAAUGGUGGUACGCUUUUCUAUUGCUAACUGUGUUGUAUCCAAUGCUUGGUACAUAAAUUUAUCAGUUACCAGUUUCUGCAGAGUGCUUCAGUUAUAUAAAUUGCAUCUUGAUUGUUAGCCAUUUGUAAUUUAACUUAACCUACUGGGAGUUCUUGAUGCCAUGCUUUCUGGGUUCUUCUUUAUGUUCUUGUUAUUGUUUAAGAUAGUUAAGAUGCCGUUGAUUUGUCAACAGUACAUGUCUGUUAUGGUCUCAAACAAGAUAUACAAUAUUGUUAGCAUGUUUUUAGUGUCUAAUAUAUAGAUGAAUUUUUCCUCCUUUGAAU